rnacentral:tRNA from 1 species
CCCCUGGUGGUCUAGUGGUUAGGAUGCGGCGCUCACACCACUAUGGCCUGGGUUCAAUUCCCGGUCAGGGAA